rnacentral:rRNA from 1 species
GUCCACGCCGUAAACGAUGUCAACUAGCCGUUGGAAUCCUUGAGAUUUUAGUGGCGCAGCUAACGCAUUAAGUUGACCGCCUGGGGAGUACGGCCGCAAGGUUAAAACUCAAAUGAAUUGACGGGGGCCCCGCACAAGCGGUGGAGCAUGUGGUUUAAUUCGAAGCAACGCGAAGAACCUUACCUGGCCUUGACAUGCUGAGAACUUUCUAGAGAUAGAUUGGUGCCUUCGGGAACUCAGACAUAGGUGCUGCAUGGCUGUCGU